CAGCAGCCACGGUAAUACGUAGGGUGCAAGCGUUAAUCGGAAUUACUGGGCGUAAAGCGUGCGCAGGCGGUUAUAUAAGACAGAUGUGAAAUCCCCGGGCUCAACCUGGGAACUGCAUUUGUGACUGUAUAGCUAGAGUACGGCAGAGGGGGAUGGAAUUCCGCGUGUAGCAGUGAAAUGCGUAGUUAUGCGGAGGAACACCGAUGGCGAAGGCAAUCCCCUGGGCCUGUACUGACGCUCAUGCACGAAAGCGUGGGGAGCAAACUGGAUUAGAUACCCCGGUAGUCCCUGUCUCUUAUAC
rnacentral:rRNA from 1 species